rnacentral:tmRNA from 1 species
GGGGACGAAAAUGGUUUCGACGGGGAUAUGGAGCUUAGAAUAGCGAGUCGUUUUGUCAUAAACGUAAAAAUGACAUUUUUAAAUUAAACGCAGAAGAUAAUUACGCUUUAGCAGCGUAGCAUAAACGCUGCUUGUCUCUCUUUAUGUUCCUGCGCAUAAAGAACAGACAUCAUUCGAUGCAGGGAACUGCUAUAGGCCUGUCCAAACCUAUAGUAGAAUAAUGGACUAGCUAAGAGAUGAUUUUGCUCAUGGAAGCUUCUUAAGGCGAAAAAAUAAAGCAUGAGCUGCACUCGGAGAAAUUCUCUGUGAAGUAUUUUCGGACGUGGGUUCGACUCCCACCGUCUCCACCA